AUCCGACUGACGAGUCCGGAGUGGGACGAAACGUGCGUUCUGGAU
rfam:Schistosoma haematobium scaffold12_19, whole genome shotgun sequence.